rnacentral:lncRNA from 1 species
UUCGAAGGGCAUUCGCAUAAUUUGACGUCUGUGAAUUAAAUGAUAGGGCGUUUGUCAGUAAAAUCUAGGGCGUUUUAUAACAGUCCAGCUUUUAUACAAGCAGGUUUCGUCGUUAGGUGACAGAACCUCUCCACCUUUUUUCCAACUCUUCGCUCUCCUGGCGUCGCAACUGCCGUUUCCCUUGACCUCUUGGAACCCGCCAACAUAUCCACAGUUCAAGAUUAAUGUAGAUGAUGUUGUACGUUCUUAGAUAGGCGGCUCCACCGGAUGGAUCCUUCUAGACUCAGCGAGUGGUGUGUUGCACGCGGUUGGCAGUCUUUGUUCAGGUAUAUCAAAUCCAUUGCUUUUAGAGCUCCUUGCAAUUGUAGAUGCUUGUAGUUGGUGUUGUCGCUCUGGUUUUCAGCAGGUGGAUAUUGAAGGGGAUGUUGAACUGGUAGCCACUCACAUUCGCGGAGGUCAUGUGUUCCUAGGUGCAUAUGGUGCCAUCAUCCAGGAGAUGAUCGAGCUGCUAUCCGCCUCCUCCGGCUUCCACCUACAUAUUGUUCGCCCAUCAGCUAAUAAAGCCGCUCAUUCUAUAGCAUUUAUGACUCUUAAAUAUCUCAUAGGGGUGUUGUCAGUAGUCUUCACACCCUGGAUAAAUAAUUAAGUUUUACAGCUUUUAAUCUUUUCUUCCCGUAGAGCUAUCUAAGAAAAUAAUAAUAAAAUACAUAUAACACUUUCAAAAGUACGUGUAGCAUCAUGUCAAUAUGCAUAAUAAUCAAACAACUAAUUUGGUCUCACCACUACCCAACUUCCUCAAACUCCUCGGAUCGACAAUCUUUCUUCUCUCUAAAACUCGUUGUAGAAAGCUAGCUAGUGCAAAUGUAUAAAGAUAUUAAAUGUUGUGGUUUAUUGAAUGGGUGAAAUCAAACGCCACUUUCCUUGCAACUUGAAAACGUUUAUUUCACCAGGGUGAUGAGAAUGGAUC